rnacentral:lncRNA from 1 species
GAGAAUGGGUUGAGGGUAGGAAUAAUGAUGCAGAAACAGAGGCAUGGUCAGUCCACAUACCCAUUUGGACUAAGAGACUCUAAUGCCCAUUAAAAAAAAUGUAAAAUCACUUUUUCUUGAUUUCCAAUAGCAAAAUAGGUAUCCCGACCACAAAUCCACACUGUGACAUUCAAUCUUCUAUUUUAUUUGCAUAUGGUGUGAAUUUUUGUAAGUACAUUUCUUUUCAUGUUCAGAAAGUUGUUUUGAUUUUUCUCCUCUCUGUUUUGCAGGACUAUGUUACCCUCUAAGGAAGCAUUACCUCCUAGCAGAGGAGGUUUGCUAUUAAAUGAAGUCAGUGCACAUUUCUGGGACAGUCAACAGAGUUGCAGGAAGCUGAUGGUUUUCAUGGGGUCUAGAUGAGAAAGAAGGAGCAUAUUGAUGAUAAAAUCAUCUUUGUUGGAUAUGUGUUGAAGCUCAGAAAUUGUACUCUGAAAUAUGGCAUUUGGGGCAGGCUGAGUACUUUGAACUAAACAAGAAUAAAGUUCUCUUUGACGUCCUGUCCUCUUGUCACCAAAGACUUUGUCACAGACUGGCACCUAUUCUCCUGAGCGGUUCUCAGUGGAAACUCUCACUACCUGGCAUUUUAUCUGCAACAAGACAACCUUGAUCCACCAUACAUCUUCUUUCUUCACUGCCCAUAACUUGUGGCCCCUUAUCACAGCCGCCCUUAUUUCUUUCUGUAGCUCAAGAUGGUAUGAAAACUCUGAUCAUUUGGCCCUUCUUCUAGUCAUAUCUUAUGGAACUCCUAUUCAUAAACAUGUAAUGAAAGUAAUUUCCUUCUGUUAAUCUAUGUCAGUCUAUUUUAUAGACUUGAUUACCAAAUCUUCAGAGGGUUAAAAUAAAUUUUUCCUCUCCUAAUCAAAUGAAGUUGCAAAAUAAAGAAGCCUACGAAAAAGGUUUACAAGCAUCUACCUUCAUUUAUUAGUGAAAGCAAGUGAUUAUGACUAUAAAACUAUAGGGGAGAAACAACUUCUUCCAAAUAUGAAGGAGUAGCUAGAAUAAAACUAACCUUCUGACUAUAAAACAACAAAAGAACACAAAAAAUAUGCAUUAUGCAAUUGUUUUCAGGAAUGAAGAUAACGGUUCAGAAUUUAUGAAGCCUCAGAGAAUGGUGGCUAAGGAGUCAGGUCAUAAAAUUAGCCAAGCUUUCCUCCUGCAGGCAGGUUUUGGAUUACGAUCCAAGGAAAGAACUCAAAAUAGAGCAGAAUGAUAUAAAUUGAUAAAAAAAAAAUGAAAUUUGGAGAGGCAAUGGUUGCUGGAAUUUGCAGUACAACUUACUGGGAGAUUGACCUAUGCACAGAAAGAAUCCCAGAGAUUUUCAAGAAUUUCCCUUGAGUCACUGGCUAAAUACUAAUUAGGGAAAAUUUAGGGUAAGAGUCCAUAAGGCUAUAAAAAGAGUGAUUGCCAGAGAACUAUAAGAUGAAAACUUCCCAAGGUCAUAUAGUUUUGGGAAGUACUUGAGUUCUAACUGUAUAAGACAGAAAGAGAAGGAAGGGAAGGAAAAGGAGAAGUUUGUUAACUUCUAAGAAGAGCAGAAAGUUUUCAUACUUAAAUUUUAAUAUAAAUUAAUACUUCCAGAGAUAAUACUUCAUUGUUUAGCUGUAUUAGUCAAAUGAGUGUAUUUGGAAACUGUUUGUAAAGCCAGAUUUGAAAUAAAAAUAUGUGUUUUGGCAAUUGAUACAAUUGGACCACACUUAUUUGUAAUACAUACUCUCACGUUUGCCAAGUUAUCUCAUAGUACAUGAUGUA